AAGGUUUAACCUGCCCACUGAAAAUUGAAUGGCUGCAGUAUUUUGACUGUACAAAGGUAGCAUAAUCAAUAGUUUUUUAAUUGAAAGCUGGAAUGAAUGGUUGGAUGAGAAAAUUACUGUCUCUGUUUAAUUUAAUUAGAAUUUUAUAUUUAAGUUAAAAAGCUUAAAUAAAAUUAAAAGACGAGAAGACCCUAUAGAAUUUUAUAUAAUAAAAAUUUAAUUUUUUAGGAUUAUAUAAUAUAAAUUUAAAAUUAUAUUUGAUUGGGGUGAUAUAAAAAUUAGAUAAACUUUUUAUAAUAAAAACAUGUAUAAGUGAAUAAUUGAUCCAAUUAUUUUGAUUAAAAGAAUAAAUUACCUUAGGGAUAACAGCGUUAUUUUUCUAAAGAGUUCUUAUCGAAAGAAAAGAUUGCGACCUCGAUGUUGGAUUAAAAUAAAAUUUUUGGUGUAGAAGCUAAAAAAUUAGGUCUGUUCGACCUUUGAAAUUUUACAUGAUCUGAGUUUAAACCGGUGUGAGCCAGGUUGGUUUCUAUCUUUAAUGAAAAAAAUAUUUUAGUACGAAAGGAUCAAAUAUUUAAUAAAUUAUUAUAUUUAUGAAUAAAAUUAUAUUAUUUUGGCAGAUUAGUGCAAUAGAUUUAGAAUCUUUUUAAGUAGAGUAUCUACAAAUAAUACUUGGGAUUUUUAGAUAAUAUUUUAAUUUGAUUAAGAAGAGUAAUUUUAUUAAUUUGUAUUUUAAUUAGAGUUGCAUUUUUAACGUU
rnacentral:rRNA from 1 species